AGAGAGAUAGAUAGAUAGAUAUUGGAUGAGGACGGGGGAGUUACUUGGCUAAGUUCUCGAGAUGGGUAUUACAUAUUUUGCUUUAAAUGCAUGUCUGCCUCUGAUUAACAUGCAGUUUUCAGUCUUGUGUGCAGCAUGUGCUGGAUCAUAGGUUCAGUCUUGUGUGCAGCAUGUGCUGGAUCAUAGGUUCAGUCUUGUGUACAGUAUGUGCUGGAUCAUAGGUUCAGUCUCGUGUGCAGUAUGUGCUGGAUCAUAGGUUCAGUAUUGUGUACAGUAUGUGCUGGAUCAUAGGUUCAGUCUUGUGUGCAGUAUGUGCUGGAUCAUAGGUUCAGUCUUGUGUACAGUAUGUGCUGGAUCAUAGGUUCAGUAUUGUGUACAGUAUGUGCUGGAUCAUAGGUUCAGUCUUGUGUACAGUAUAUGCUGGAUCAUAGGUUCAGUAUUGUGUACAGUAUAUGC